GGAGGAACCACACUUUGCGGAAGGUGGAGGCAAAAUGGAAGGAACCCAGAGGAACAGCAAGGUCUGAGAAGAGAGGUCACUUCUGUCAGCAAGGCACUGGACUGCAUUUCUGAAGAAACAGAUGGAACUUUACAUAUGGGAGUGAAUCACAAAAAUCACAUCUCUUCAGUUUUAAUGUGAUAGUCUGAGAACCAACUGUUUUUCCAAAUGGACUGCAAGGUCUUUUAGGCAGGUCCCAUCUUUGUCUGUGUGCAGAAAAUACUUCAGUGAGAGCAAGACUCCUGCACUUCACUGAGCUCUUUCAAGGCUACUGUAACGUGGUUGGUUGCUGAUGUCAGCAGUAUCUCAGAUACAUGGAAAAUAUUUGCCACAAGAGCAAACACCAAUGGGACGCAGAAUGGCUAUGGAGACAUGGACACUGGCAGGCCUGUGUGUACAGGCAGAGAGAAUUUUCAGGUGUUGAGUUCCCAUGAAGAUUUUGUUCAGGCCUACUUCUGAUGCCAUUGAAGGAAGAACAGAUUUUCUAUGCAGCAACACACUUUGAGUAAAGCUGUCAGAUCUGCCUGUUAGAUUCAUACAAGAGUUCCUUGAAUACAUUUGACAAAUAGAUAUAAAUAGUACUUAGGAAACAUAUCUCACUUUGAAAAGACUUUGUAAUAACAGAAGUACGUGCCAGGAAAACAGGUAUUUCAGGAA